rnacentral:lncRNA from 1 species
GUUGCUACAUAGUAGAGUUAUACAGAAAAAAUUUACAGUAUCACACUUGCACCAUAUCAUCAGUAACAAGUUAAUUAGAUAUCUCUUCUUGAGAGAAAAAUAUAAUAAAAAUAUUUUUCUAUUAAUCAUGAUAGGACGGGUGAACCCAGCCAAUUCUAUUGGUUGGAGAUACUAUGUCAGUAAUAUAACUGGUGCAUUCUAAAAUUUUUCAGUUACGAGGCGAACUAUGAGGCGUGUCCCGCCCUUUCAUGCAGAAAAAUAGAAAUGGUACGAGGAGUGACACGUGGGGCCCACCCACUCGGGUUGUUAAGUACGGCAACAAACCUACCUUAGCGCGGCUCAACGCGUGGCCCGGCAAAUUGACCCUCUCUCUUCACGGAGGAAUUCUACACUGUCACACUUGCACCACGUCAUCAAUAACAAACCAAUCACAUUUCUUCUUUUCAAACAAAAGUACAAUAAAAAUACUUUUUUACAAUCAUGAUGGAACAUAUAUUCUUAAAAAAAUUAAUUUGAUUAGUUUGUUACGCCACGUCACUAAUAUAUCCGUUGCAUUCUAGAAUUUUUCCUCUUCACGAUGCCAUGCACGUUACAUAUAUACAUUCCCCCGCACCCUCCCCUUCUCUCACCUUUUCUCUUCCCCCUCUCAUCCUCCUCCUCUUGUUCUGACCACCUUUUACAAACAAAACGGGUUAGCAGCAGCAGCAGCAGCGACACGUGGAACUGGCAACUUUGGGAAGACUCCUGUACGUGACACGCGAGUGGUAACGCUUUUCUCCAUUUUUUUUUAUAUGCUAAAUUAUAAUUAUGUACGGCUUACUGUAAAGAUAUUAAAUAAUAAAUAUGUUGUUAUAUUUUUAUUACUAAAUAUAAAUUUUAAUUUUAAUAAUCUUUGCAUGAAGAUGACAUAACCUAUAUUUGUAUUUAUUGUACUUUCCUAUAACCUAUGCAUGUACUUUAAUUUCUACUGGUAAAGCGACAUACGCGUUGAAGUUGAUAGAUGUACAGAUCUUUCUUAAAAUUUUCUUACACAUUAUGUGAGGACGAAAGUAUAAUAUAAGUGCAUUGUUCACAUUCUAAGCUAUUACAUAAAUGAACCACUUUGCAGUAAUUCCUAUACAUAUAUAUUGCAAUUAUAAGAAUACACAUGAUAAGCGAUCAAUUAUAAUGCCUAGUAAGUUUAUAAAUAACAUAUUAAUUCAAUAAACUGAAGCAGUAUAAUAGUAUAUGCAACACAAAGGCCACAAAUAAAAUAAUGAGAAAGUAAAAGAAAGAAAUUACAUAUUAAUGCACAAUUAGCACUAUCAAUGAUUUUUCUAACCUCAAGUUCUAUACAAUUGAGGACUCAUAGUAAAGAGAGAGUGGAGAAAAUGUCACCGAGCGUGCACCACUGUACCGACUUCGGAUCGAAAUACCCACAUGUACGAACGUAGCGCCUGUCUUUCGAUUGUGGAAGCCGGGUUAGAAUCCAACCCAUAAAUAUAAAACACUAAACUCACAACCCCACAAUUAAUCCCACGGGAAUCGGUUUUCCAAAAUCGAUUACCGUAACUCGCCGGAAGUCCCAAAAAUCGCACCGGGACUCCGCCGGGAACAACGAAGUGUCCCGAGACUCACCGACUAGCGCCACGAGUCACCCACUGCCACACAACACCAUAAUAAAGGUGUCCUGGCUGCAAAACACGUAAACUCACAUCGAAACGGUUAUCGUCGGAUAACCGUUCCGAUCCGGGUUCCCGAAAGUGUCAAUUUCAACACCGAACCCACCGUUGCUCACCCGUCGUCUCCGAACCCUCAAAACAACGUAAGUAACCAGCCAAUAAGGCUCAGUGACAAAGUAUAAUACACUAAUGCAUUGUCGGAAGAAAUCCGAACCGAAAUCGCGUUCCGUCGGCGAAUUUCGCCGAAAAACGCACCGAAAAUCGAUAUUCAAUUUUCGCAAAGGCCUCGGGCCUUGGACAAUCAGUCUAGAGAUCACCCGCCACCCGCACACACUGCCCAUAGCAGCCACGAAGUGUACAUUUGCACAAAAGUCCUUACAAUCACAUAAAAUCACAUCAUUUUAUGUGAUUUUCGAGAUUUUACAGCUCGACAGCACAAUUGAGGGAUUUCGAGGCCGGCCGAGACACAUGCUGAUAGGUCUCGUCGUGUCGGAGUCCGUGCUCAUGAUCCAGAGCAUAACCGUCCACUUUGGACAACGCGACAGCGACAAAAGUUCAGCGAACUACGUGCGCUGAACCUAAACUGCGCUUAAUUCAAAAACCGGGACUUACUGACCCUAAAGGAGAUGAGCACGAUGAUCAGCACUGAUCAAGGAUCAUCAUGCUCACUUUCAAAAGCAUCGAGGUGCCGCCAGGUCGCCGGAACAGUGACCCGAACAGGAAACGAUGGACAAAAUAGCUUAAUACAAGCUUACCUGGUCAAAGGGAGCUCAGGUUGGCCGACAACGGCCGGACGGCGGGCACCGGUAGCAGGCUGUUGCAACCGGUGUGGGGAGGUCGACGCUCGCGGCGGCGGGUAGCGGGAAGCAGCCGGAGGGGCGGCGGAGCAAGGUGAGUCCGCACCGCUAGGGCUCCGGUUCAGGGAGCUGCGGCGGCCACCGCGACAAGCGGGGCGCUCAGAGGCAACGGCGACAGGUCGCCGGAGGCCGGAGGGAGAAGGCGCAGCUGGCCCCAGGCGGCGGCGGCGCGCGAGAGAGGAGAUGACUCUGCCUCAGCCCGAGCUUGCUCCAUGUGGCCGCAAGCUGCCAGAGCAGCAGCGGCGGCGCGCAGGGACAGUUGCGACUGGCGGGGGAGGUCGUCAGAGGUCGGAGAAGGGCAACCCAAGUGGUCCUAAGUAGCGGCGGCGCGAGGGCCAGGAGCCAGAGCUACCUCAGCCCGAGCUGGCUCAGCUUGGCCGCAGGCUGCCAGGCCGGCAAUGACGGCAUGCGGGGACAGCGGCGAUCGGUAGGGAAGGUUGCUGGAGAUCGGAGCACGGCUAGGGGAGGAGCCCGUGGGUGAAGAGCCCUCCAAGUUGCUGCUCGGACAAAGGUGGAGGAAGGUGGUGGAGAAGAUGAUGGAGAGGGUGAAGGGGUAGAUUCCGGUGGCCGGCGACGUGCGCAGGCGGACGGGGUGUGGGCGGCUAGUGCAGGGGGAGGUGCUGACGGAGGCAGGGGAUCAGCUGAGGGAGGAAGGCAUCUAGGGUUAGGGUUUCAUCAAUGAAACCCUAAAUGCCAAUUUAAACCAAGUGUAAUUUUGCAUGAUAGUCCUCCAAAGAUGAUUGUUUUUAACUAAGUCCCUCAAGUGCGUGUAUUUUGCGCGUACGCAACUCAAAAUUCGAAAUCAAGCAAAACGGUGCAUAAUAUGGAGAGUUUUGCGACUUUUCCGUUUUGCCAAUUUCGACCCCUUCCCGAUCUUCACACGAUAUCAGGUGAUCCGUCUGUCGGAUUUGCGAACAGACUGCAUCAGCGCGUUUAGUACGUCCUUGGCAUCAACAUCACUAUUUUGUUUUGCCCGAUUCGGUGACCAAUUUGCAACGAAACCAUCCUCUCCGAAAACCACCUACACAUACACACACACACACACACACACACACACACACACACACACAUAUAUAUAUAUAUAUAUAUCAAAUUCAAAAUUCAAAUUUGAAUUCCUUUAUUCAAAACCUCAGAUAUUACAGAGUAGAUGUUCUUUACCUUUCUAGCAUGUUGAAUAAUAAGAAAAAUCCUAUAAGAAUUACAUGAAACGACAAAUCUCACCAAAGAAUUAGAUUAUAAGCCUAAAAUGAAUGUGCAAGAAAAAAUAAAUUAAUAUAGAUCAAAUCCUUAAAGAGUGACAAUAGUAUUUAGAAAGCAAAUACGAAGCGAAAACUACAAAGCAAAAUAAGAAAUAUUAUUAAGUACUUUUCCGUUCUCAGGUAGCAAUUGCUCCAUAUCUUUUUCUUUUUUUUACUUUGAUUACAAAUCAGAGGGUUAAGUGAGCAUGUUAAACUCAUUUAAAACUAAGGUUACGACAUGGUUAUGCUAUUUGAAUAGGAAGCUCUAAAAUUCUUCUUGUUCUUACAAUCUAUUUUUAGAUUUGCAAAAAAGAAUCAUCUAUCAUUCGUGUAGUAAAUAGCAAUUAAAUGCGCACAUCGAUCAAACACCUCUGAGCAUUGUUAGCUAUUGUUAUCAAAUAUGCCAAAAAAUUUCGAAAAAGAUAUAACAUUUGGUUGAAGCAAAAGGAAUGUCUGCAAGUAGUUUUCUAUAGAGAAGCAAACUAAGAACUCUUAUCAAAACAUUAUACAUAAUAUUAAGAGAUAAAAGGUGAAAGACAGAAUAAUCACAGCCUCAUAAGUAAUCAAAAGCAUACGAUAAUAAAUUGGUAAAGUGCAAUAUAGGCAAAUUUAUACAAUUACAAAUAUAUGAAUCUAGAGUUUUGAAAACUUCUUCACAUUUUGGGAAAUGUGGAUCCAAUGCUCUUUCAUGCUUUGAUCUCUUUCUACACCUUAAGAAUAAAGAAAAUUAUACUAUAACAAUUUGGUGAAGAGAAUGUGGAUAAUAGUGAUGUAAUAUUAACAACAAAUAGUAAGAAAAAAUAAAGAAAAUCAAUAAGAAGACGAACUAAUUAAAGGUAAUUAAAUGUCAUAACUUGUGAUAUAAAAUGAAGGUAAAAAAAUAGACACAUCAUUCUUUCAGCAUAUAGUAACAGACUAAAAAGGAAUGAAGAAUAAUAAAAAAUAGAAUAAAUAAAUAGAAGUUCAAAGCCUACAAAUAAAUAGGUUUUCAAUGUUACUUUUGGAUAACCAACACAAUAGGAAAAAAAUGAGUAAUAAUGAAUGCUAAUUAAAACAUUAUGUAAUAUUUGAUCAUAUCCUUAAUAGUUAAGAUUACUUGCACGUUCUCAUGUGACUUCUUAAGAAUACACUAACAAACAAUCCUAUGAUAAGCAAGAGUAGAUAGAUUAAAUAUUCUCUAUUUAUUUAACUUUCGGUGAAAUACAUAGAAACUUAGGUUAGCUUAUGCAGAAAAUACACCAAGCACUUUGGAAAGCUAUAGUUCUUUGUUGUAACAACUGACCACCUAGAGAAUGCAAUGAUUUAACAUCAAACCAAGGGAGGGUAGCUUAAUAGUGACAAAAGUGUUGUCUGUGGAGAGGUAAGAGUGAACCUAACUCUAGGGCUAUCUUAAUUUGAGGCAGAAUUCAGUAGCUUAAGUCGAGGAAAAAAUUAAUAGCAAAUGAAGGAUGGUGAGGAUGCAAAGGUAAGCUGCACAAAAGAUCUUGGGGCAGCAUUGAGAUUACAUCCUUGGUCAAGCCAUAAGACCAGUGGUUGUGAUAGUUCCAUUUUCUAAAUAUUCGUAGUCAUCUAACUUGCCAAAAGGAGAAAAAAAUCCGAAUUUCACACCAAAGCAUGCUGUCACAGCCUUAGAAUUUUUGUUCGCAAAGCCCGUAAGGCGCACGCCUUCCUGCUCGAAGAUGGGCAAGCCUAGCUCCUUAUUGCUAGCUUGGACCUCCACUCCCUACAACUAAGUAUGCAAAAAGAAGAGAAAAGAGAGAAACAGAGGUUCCCAAAAACUAAGUACUCCACUACUUAGUUUAAUAGGACUACAAAACACAACACCUCUUGUGUCUCUAUCUUCUCUACUUUGGCCUUAGCCAACCCUCUUACUUAUAGGCUCCAAGAUAUAUUGAAUAUAGCUCAUGCUAACUCACUACUAAACACACAUUAAAGCACAUAUUAACUCACCCACAAUCACAUAGUAAUGAGCCCUCAUUAAUGCCUAAUGAUUGCAAGAUGAUCAUAAGGGUUGCCCAUGACUCUUGGGUUUCCGCUGGCAGUUAUGAAGGUAUUAAUUGCAGCAGUUACAUGCCCAUUCACCUCUCAUGAAAGGUGUAAUAUCUGGGAUAUUGUAAAAGGAGGAAUUCAAAAUUUCAAAUUUUCAAUUCAAAAAUUUGAAUAUAUAUAUAUAUAUAUAUAGUGGCUAUAUUGCUAUAUUUGUGAGAGCAAGAGGGGAGUGGAUCUUCACGAAUUCGGGACCAAAUCACACGAAACAAAAAUGUAAUCUCGAAGUCCGGCAGUACCAGAAGUGUUGGCAAAGUCUAUUCGCAAUUCUGAUAGCGGAUCGUCCAAAAUUGCACAAUUAUCGAGUAGAGGUCUUUUGGGGAAAAUUGCGUUUCGAAAAAUCCCCCAACAUUUCAGGUGCCAAAUUGUGCGAAAUCACACACGGAGGCGUCAUUUUGUGAGUUACACAUGCUGUGAAGGACUUGAGAAAAAUUUUAGAAUUUUUGUGGGGUUUUUCUGCAUUUUUUCCAUGUUGCUCAAGAGAAACCCUAGGGUUUCUCUUCUUUUCUCUCCACCAUAUACCCCCACAUCCCUCUCCUUCUCACAGCCACCACCUCCCCUCAUCCCUACGCGCGCCGCGCGCCGCCCAGCCGUCAGCGGCCCCUGUUCUGGCCACUAUGAUCCUUUUCUCUCUCUCUCAACCUUCUCUCAAUCUUCUCUCAAUCUCUCUCUCCCUCUCUCUUCUUUCUUGUGGACCCAAGCUGUAAGGAGGCCCGCACCAGCCUCAGGCCCUCUCCCCCUACGAUGCCGGACCUCCGGCGGUCUUUCCCAGCGACCGGUGAUACAGAUGAGUACUUCGAUCCGAAGCCGGUACAGCAGCUCAUGCUCGAUGACUUCUUAUCUUUUUUCUCCUAUUUGAAUUGCAUAGCUUAUCAUGAUUAUAUGCUAAGCAUCUUGCACACUACCUGGCGCUCGUUGGUCUACUCUACAGUUGUUCGUCUUAUAGUAUUAUGAUUGAUCUAGUAGUAAAGUAGCACUCCGGUGAUUGAUUAUCGUUGCAUGACUUCAUCACUGAUGACAUUUCGUAGUUGUUGAUACAGUUAUAUAGACCUGAUAGGUCAGUGGCAUGGUGACAUUCCUUCGGGAAUAUUAGACCGGAUUUGGUCGGAUAUGGUUGUGGAUUGUUUUAUCGGCUUGUUGUCGUUGUUGGCCAUUGAGCAUAUCGCAUCGAUCGCCACAGCUCAUGCAUUUCACGUACACCAAUGGUCCGAUCCACCGCAAAAGGUGUUCUUUUCUAGAAAAGUGGUCGUACAUCUGACCCGUAAGCCCAGUGGCUCAGUGCUGGGUCAUAUGCCAGGGAGACCCAGUGGUCUACUGCUAGAGUCAUAUCCCUAGUAGAGCGGUCGUGGCAUAGCCGGAGCUCCUUAGACCAAUAUGGCAGUUGAUUGGGUAUACUUGUGCUAUCAGUGACAGCUGACGCAUAGUCGUUUCCCUAUUUUCCUUUGCAGUAGCGGUUAUUCAUACCAUUAUCACAGUUGUUUUCAAUUCAGUUAUCAUUGCUAUUACGCUAGUUUGACUGUUGAGUCGUUGCUUUAUUAUCUCACUUUACAGUAGUAGCUUCUUUGGUAAUUAUCAGUGGUUGUUAUUCUUUGUCAUUAUACCGGAUUUACUUGUGACUACUGCUAUUUAUCCCUUCCAUCCACCAUGUACAGCUUGCCUUCGUCGACUUGUGGUACCCACUAGGAGAAGAGCCUUGUUUACAUGUUCUCACCCUCCUCACUAUUUUUCAGGUAGCUCGGUCUAUAAGGGUCAGGACAGUGCGUGAGGACAAUACUAGAUAGUGAGCUCGAGAUAGAGAUCCUGACCUUACAGAAUCAGUUUUGGUUUGGCGCUUACUAUAUGCAUGUCAAUAGAUAGACUUGAUAGCUUAGUUUUUUGCCACCCUCAUACUUGUUAGUAGUUAGACAAUAUCGUGGUUCAGUGGAUUUACUCGCGGAUUUGGAUAUCUGUAGAUUUUGAAUACAUGAAAGAUUUUGGACUGGGCUUUUAAACGAAGUUUUCUUUAAAGUAUACUCGUAGUUUUCACAAAUAAUGGAUAUCUACCCCUCGUGGUAGCUUGUUUACUGUGACAUAAAGGUUUCCAUAUGAAAAAUGAUUUUCAAAGUGAUUUUUUGGUUUUUCGUGGAUUUUUAAAAAUUAGAGUUUCAAAGUGAAGCCUUUGUGUGGGAAGGCACUUUCAACUAGUAGGAAUGAAUGUGAAACUUAAGAAAUGAUAAUUUGUGUGAAUUGUGAAUGUUGUUAGUGUGAGUGGUAUGUAAUGGUUGUCACUUGUACUAUGUGCUUUGCCGUGCAAAUAUAAGGGAGACUCUGUCCGUUUGAACAGAGAAUUUCUUGUAUUUAUGGCGGAUCUGUUGUAAUGUACCGAAAAGUUCGAGUUGCAAUGUUAACUUUGAUCUAAAGGAUCAAAGUGAAGCUUGAACUGGUCGUGUAUCAUUCCCGAGUGAUUUUGGAGGUAUGGGAAUGAAUUCUGAAGAUAAUUGAGUGUUUCGGCGCAAAUUGGGCGCGAAACAAAAUUUACAGAGAAUUUUCGGAUUAAAGCGCUAACUUUGAUUAAAUGAAUCAAAAGUGAACAAUGAGGAUGAUUUAUUGUCACACCCCAAACCCGAGGCGUAACAGACGCCGCAUACCUGCUAAACUAGCAAAUAUGUAAGGCUACAGAAUCAGACGGAAACUAGCAAAAAGAUAAUUACCAAUUUUUCCACUAAAUCCAAAGAAUCAUAAGAUGAGAUUAAGAAAUUGAAUUUCAACUAAAAUCAAACGGAAUUCUAACAUCUAUAAAACUAAAGCUUACUACGAAUCACAAAACUAAAGCUUACUACGAAUCACAAGAGAGAUUCGGUCUACAAAAUACCAUAAGUGACAAAAGUGGGUACGAAGAAAUAACGAAAUAAAAGCAAAUGACAAACGAUUAUAUACGAAGUCCAAAGAUUCACAUCCGAAAAUACUAGAUGUAAAAAAAAAAAGGACUAAAACAAAACUAGCUACGUCUAACGUUCACUUGGUCUCAGCCCCGCCCGGCAAAUCAGUCUCGGUAUCUGGGUAAGCAACCAUACACCACAUUAGUCGGAUUAAGCAUAUAAAUAAAUAAAUACAAAAAUUAAUUUAAGCGACUGGUUUAUAAUUUGCAAAAUUUCAGAAAACAAGACUUUAUCAAAACUUAAAAUUCAGAUCGGAUCGAAACUAUAAAUUUUACAAAGCGUUUCUCUUUCGACAUAUAAACGAAGUAAACAUUAAGUCCCUGACACUUAACUAUAUCAUAUGAUCCGUUGGCGAGAUCCAGAGGCACCCGAAGGUGCAAACAAAGCAGAAGCACCCGAAGUUGCAAACAGAACAGAGGCACCCGAAAGUGCAUGUACAAAACAGAGGCACCCGAAAGUGCAUGUACAAAACAAAGGCACCCAAAAGUGCAAACAAAACAGAGGCGUGGAUAGGCGCAGGCACCCGAAGGCGCAAUACAAAGAUGAAACUAGCUUCUAUAACAAAAUACACGUCGACAUGGCCAACAUUAGCAUAGCAGAAUAUUAGGAGAAAUCAUAAUUCAAAAAUUAUCCAGUCACUAAUUUACAAAACAGAUUAUCAAAUUUCAAAAGUUCAUUUUGCUAAAAAGACCUGUCAAUCACAGUUGAAGCUCAAUUUACAGAAAUAUUUAAUAAUAUGCUCAACCCGUAAUUUUGAAAUCUACAAAAUAAGAUUUUCAUACAAUCUAAAUAUUUUUCUAAUUUAUCUUACGAAAAACUAACGGGUGUCUGGUCGCUUACCUCAAAAGCGGCUUCUAAGCUAAGAAGCUAUCCAAUUGAAAAUUGCGCGAAAAAUCAAUCACCGGAACCUAAAAUAGAGAAACAUGAUUCUCUAUAAGCUACUUAAAAUAAACUUACAAAGAUGACAUAUAUACAUUUAGAAAGCAAGCUUAUACAAAAAUCUGAAUUCAGAUAGGUUCACAUAGGUUGACAAAAUCGGCUACAAAUGCAUGCAAAAAGGUCAAGAUGGAGCACGAAAGAGAUUUAGAAUACAUUCGACGAAACUCAAUUAGCAAUCAAAAGGAUGAUGAGUUUCAAAUAUUAAAGUUUUCAAAGAAGUAAGAUAACAUGAAUGAAGUUUUAGAUAAUAAACGAAGGAUCUAAUGCUCAAAAAGAGGGUUUUCAGAUGUUGAAAUAUUGAUAUGCAAAUCAAUAUUUAGAUAAAAUCAAGAUGGGAACAAAAACAAUGUAUGCCUUCUUUUAGGCAUUUCGUCGAACAUAAAGCGGACAUUCCAAUAAGUGUGUACAAUAUGUGAAGUUUUAUGCAACUAGAUCAUACAGAGGAUACAAGAUAUGAAAUUAAACGGUUCGAACGACGAAGAUUAGAUAUAACGAAAUCAGAUUUUGAUGGUUUCAAAUUUCAAUCAUCAUGAGACGAGUAUUCAAAAUAAUAAUAAAACAAUGAACAAAGAGGUUGGAUGAUCACAAGAUUCGAUAUAGAGGUAAAAUGAGGGAAAGAAAAAAACCUUCUCGAAAAUGGUGAAGAUGACGGCAGGAUACCCUCGAUAGCGAACCAAAAAAUAACGGCCAAAGAGGAUUGCGGCGGAGACGGCUACGGAUGAUGGCGACGAUCGGAUAGCGUCGCGCGCGCACGUGCGGAGCAGCAGACGCGUAAGGUGCUUUGAAGAAUGAGAGAGAUAGGGAGUCGUACGGAAGAGGGGAAAAAAAAAGGAUUGAUCGGGUUAGGGGGUUCAUCCGGAAUGAAAAGAAAAGGAAAAAGAACUUAAUUAGAUUAGGGAUUAAAUAAACAAUAUGCCGCCAAGCCCCCGUACUCAUAAUAUUUACAAAAAGGUCCAAGUUUCAAAAGAAUAGGAGUCAAAACAAGAAGUUAAAAGUAUGGGGUGUUACAUUUAUAAUAUCUCCAAAUCAUUUUGGAGAUGAUAGGGUAGUUAAGUGGCAGAUUUUAGAACUGUUCGGAAGUGUUAGAGCGAAGUUGACGCGAGAAAAUGACUCAGAAUUGCUGUUGUCAAGUACAGAAAACUACAGGGACUACAGUGUAAACAGCAAUUUUAAUUUUUGUGGAGGAUUUAGGAGCAAUUGCUACUAUUGCUGCUGCUGUUGCUGCUGCUAUUGCUGCUGCUGCUGCUGCUGCUAGCUGUUACUGCUGCUGCUGUUAAGUGGGCUGCAGGGACUGUUUUGUAAAAACAGAAUUCCUGCCUCGUGGAGGGGUUUAGUUGCAUUUUUUUGGGCUUAUCCUUAAACCGCAGCCUACCCCAGCUGCUGCUACUUACCAAAUAUCCUCUCCACUUCAUUCUCUUUUCAUUUCUUUUCUUUUUUUCUCUACAAGCCUAGGGUGGCUGAAGUUGGUGAAGAGGGUUUGUGUGGAGUUCGGUUUUCUUAGUGAUUUCAGCUGAGAGGAAGGUCCAGGAGCUGAGAACAGCUCGUGGGAAGCUUCCAAGUUGAGGUAGGUUUGAUCUAAUUUUAGAUUAGAGUUAGGUUAUUGCUCUAAAAGAGAUUAAGCUACAGAUUUUGAGGUAUUAGAACUUCUAUUACCAUGAAAAAUCUUAAAGAAUUGUGUGUGCACAGCAUAUAUAUAGAUAUAUAUAUGUACAUGUGAAUUAUUUGUUGGGGAUGAAACCUGAGGUAUGAGAGACAUAUUUCCUGAUUAUGGUUCAUGGUAUUUAACGUAAAGGAGGAGUAGACAAUAGAAUUUUAGGUUUCUAAAACUAAAAUUGCUAUGUGAAACCUAGAGAGAGCUAUGUAUGUAAAUAGCAUGUGGGUUUACUUGACAGCUGGGAAUAGGGUUAGUAUCCUGUAAUUCCUGAUUAGGGAAUUGAUGUAAAUCCUUUGAAUUAAUGAGUUUUGAGGUUCUUGGGCUACUAAAGAGUUGAAUUAUUCUAUGUAUUUUGUGAAAUGUUGUAGAAACAGUGUAUGUAGAGCCUAAGAUCGAAAAUGCUAUUUUGUAGGAUUGGGAGCCUAGCUUGGAAUUGAUCACAUAUAAACUUAAUUGAGGGUAAAACCGACUUGUUGGGAAGCUCGGAUCGGUGUUUCUACGAGCCUACGGCAAGCUAUUGAGGAAAAACCUUAUUUUAGCUUCGUUUGUCGCAAGCGAGAAUUGCGAUUGUUCCUAAAUCCCGGAAAGUGGAUUUCUCGCAUCCCGGUAUCAAUUAAAGGUGAGUUGUGCUUUACCGAAGCGAUUAGGUCGCUUCCAAGCCAAAGUAAAGUAUGAUUAUUAUUGAUGCAUAUAUGUAUAGUGGUAGAUUAUGAUUGAUAAUAUGAAUGCAUGAAUCAUAUUGUGUUAAUUAAUGUUACCUACCAUUGGAAUAUGCAUAUUGAUAUAUUGUGGAUAAUGCUAGAUGAUGUAUGAAAGUUGACAUAUUGUGAACAUGCUAGGUUCUUAUAAGUUGAAAAUGGGUCGAUAAAUCUAAGUUUGUCAGAGAACUCGACAGUUACAAAGUGAGAACGUGUAAACUACAAUCCUAGGUGUGGACAACUAGGAUGAUAAGUAGAUCGAAUGGCAUGAACCUAGUGUUAUUAAACAUAGAUUGGACAUGAACCUAGUGUUAUUGAACAUAGAUUGAAUAAGUGAACCUAGAGUCGAGAUCUAGGUAAAAUUGAUAUAGAACCUAGUGUGAUUGAACCCAGGUUAUGAGGU